rnacentral:lncRNA from 1 species
UAUAUAGAGUGGAUAUAUAUUUUUUGAAAAAAAGAUAAUAUACUGAAUAAAUUAGACUACAGAGAUGAGACAUUUAGGUAUCGUUUGGUUCGGGAAUAAACAAAAAGUGACUAUUUCAGGGAUAGGUAUAAAUUGAGAUAUAAGCGGAGAUUAGAGUUUGGAUGAAAAUUGGGUUAUUACUGGUAAUAAAAAAAAUAACGUUUGGUUAGAUAAAAUGGAAUAAGAAGGAUACUGGGUUUUAUAAAUAAAAAAAAUGAUACUACCCUCUUAUUGUAUUUGAAUUUUAAAUUUUUAAAAUUUUAAAUUUAUAUUUGCUUAUCCCCGAACCAAACGAU